rnacentral:miRNA from 1 species
AGUGCCUGCUAUGUGCCAGG